CUGAGGCAGCGUCCCACAUGCCACAACUAAAAGAACCCACAACGAAGAAUACACAACUAUGUACCGGGGGGCUUUGGGGAGAAAAAGGAAAAAAUUAAAAAAAAAAAAACAAAGCAAUUUUCAUCACCAUCGCUAAUCCACAAGGGACGCUAGUGGUGGAGCUUUAUCUAUGAGGUUUCCAAAAUAAAGAUCUAUUCAAAUGGGAAAACUCUGCUCAAAGAAAGGAAUAAACAAGGACAUGAUCUUUCCCUUUGUAUAGUUCACAUUUCAAGCUAUAUGCUCCAAUAAUUUUCAGAUUUUAAAGUAUUUUCACAUUUAACAUGUCACUUGAUUCUCACAAGAAAACAGUUUCUUACAGAUAAGAAAAAUUAGGCUCAGGAAUUAAGGAACUUUAUCAAGAUCGCCCAGCUAUUAAGUGGCAGAGACAAAUUUUAAACAAAGUCUAGUUAUAUUUUAAGUAUCAACUAUUUUGAUGCAAGAAGCAAUCAUAAACUUGUGAAGAAGGAAGAGGAGGAAGAAGAGAGAGCCACAGACUCAGAGAACAGACAGGAUUAUUGGGAAGUAAACCAAGAACUAACAUUUAAUGAGUGUGGACCACAUGCCCUCCUGAGUUCUAAGUACUUUGCAUGCAUAAUUGCCUUUUAUCUUCAGUGAGGUACUUAAUGUUACCAUCUCCAUCUUACAAGUGGGGAAAUUGAAGUACAGAGAGGCUACAUAAGUUGGUCAAAGUCACAGAGAGUUUAAUAAACGCUGUCGAACGUGAAAGCACACUGGCUCUGAGGUCUGCAACGUAAAACCGUGGAGGUCCUGAGGCCCGGCGGCCCACCCUGUUCUCAUUCCUUUCCUGUGCUAACGCUACACUGAAGAAAGUUUUAAUGGUUUGGAGUAAACAGAGCAAGAUUAAAAAGAAAGCUUGUAGAAAAUAGACUCUCAAAAAAUUAAAGACAAUAAUUACUACAUUAAAAAUGCCAUCAUUUGUGCCUUAAUAAUAUGACCUAUCAUAAAAAUGCCAUUUUAAUUGUUUUACCAUCU
rnacentral:lncRNA from 1 species